GGGGGUCCAGCCAACGGCUCCAGGCGCUCUGGGAGGCCCUCAGGGAGUUCCGAGCUCCCAAAAGAAGGCCGCUCCCCGAGCAAGGUGUGCGUAGGUUUUCUAAUUUCUCUCCGGAUUUUUUUUGUUUUUCUCUUUCUUCUGACUUGCGUUAUCUUUCCAGUCAGAAGCACAAGGCGGCCCCGGUGGCACUGGCCCCCCUGAAGGCCGUAAAGAGGGGGUCGCACUCGACCCCUGGG
rnacentral:lncRNA from 1 species